rnacentral:lncRNA from 1 species
CAUUAAUAAACUGAGAUUAACCCUUUUUGUUUAGAGAGCUUUAAUGAAAAAUAUUUGAGUUAAGUUUAAUUUAAUUAAAAACUACCUUAUACUAUUAUUUAACCAAAAACACUUCAUAUUUAAUUAUAACAACCAAGCCCCACAAACAUUAACACACAUGAACUGAAGUAAAAGCCCGAAAUGAAAUUUUUUUUUCCAGCAUUACCCUAACGGAAACCUCAUGUUGUCUGCUAAUUCUGUUAAAAAUAAACUUUCCUUUAUUUACAAACAUGCCAUUACGUUAGCCAAUUACUUCUCUUUCUGUAUUUUUUUUAUUUUUAUUUUUAUGCCGUUGGUUUUCUCUCUUUUCUUUUCUUUUUGUUGUCCCCCCUAAGGGGCGGCGUCUAUUUUAUACGCUUGAGAAACCCAAUCAAUUCCAACUUUCAGUUAUAUAUAUAUUUCCUUAUAUGAAUUAGGUUGUUCAAAUUCUUUUGUUGAUCAACCACCACCCUUAAUUUUGUUUGCCAUUUAGAACCUGCUUUUUGUAGGAAUCACUUCGAUUGAAAAUUAUUCCAAUUUCAUUUUUCAGUUCAGCGGUUCUAGAUUUGUUCGUGUGGUCUUGACUUUUGACCGAUAAAACAAUGGUCCUGGGGGUGGUUAAGAAAUUUCUGGGGUAGAAAUAAUCUAUAUUAACAACAUUGUCGCUUAACAAUUUAUGUAACAAAAUAUCUAAUGGAUGUAUGACAUUACAAUUAUAUUCACAACUUUGUGUACAACAUUGCAAUGUUGUAAAUAUGAUGUAUGGGUUUGCAACCUAAACUUGAGGGGGAAAACUGUAAUACCAUGUUUUUAGGUUUUUUUUUUUUAGAGAAAAUUCAAACAAUAUUUUUAGUUUAAGUACUAAUGGAAAAAGCCGACUACAAUCAUUUUAUAAAUAGUAUUAUAUUUUAAAGUAGAUACAUGAUUGCCACUCAAUGUCAGUAAUUUUUUUUACGACCAGCUAGUGAUUUUAUCAUAUAUUCAGAGAAACAGACCACAUAGUUGUAAUUAUUUACAUUUUCAUCUCAUUCUAUCAAAUUCACCAAAGUACUAAAAAUAAAUAAUAAAUUUACUUCCAUUCGCCUAGGCCCAGCCUAGACCACGUCAAGACGUUAAGCUCUAGUUCACCACUCGACUACCGCCUAGCAUCUUUUAGGUUUUUUUUUUUUUUUGAGAAAAUUCAAAGAAUAUUUUUAGUUUAAGUACUAAUGGAAAAGUCGACUAAAAUCAUUUUAUAAAUAGUAUUAUAUUUUAAAGUAGUUACAUGAUUGCCACUCAAUGUCAGUAAUUUUUUUUUACAACCAGAGUUCGGCUGGUGAUUUUAUCAUAUAUUCAGAGAAACAAACCACAGAGUUGUAAUUAUUUACAUUUUCAUCUCAUUCUAUCAAAUUCACCAAAGUACUAAAAAUAAAUAAUAAAUUUACUUACAUUUGCCUAGGCCCAGCCUAGACCACGACGAGACGUUAAGCUCUAGUUCGCCACUCGACUAUCGCCUAGCAUCUUGUAGAACCAUAAGAAAUAAUGUGUGUUUUCUUCAAUUUCAUAAAUAGUGUAAAGCUUUGUAAUUGUCCUAGCAAUAGUGUGCGUUAUUUUUUGUUCAAAUCCAGAAUUAGUGUGAGUUCUUUUGUUCUUUCCAAAAAUUGUGUUUAUUUUGUUACUUUUCAUAAAUAGUGUGAGUUAUUUUGGAUCACUUUCAAAAAUAGUGUGGAUUAUUAUGUUGAAGUUCUAGAAAUAAUGUAGGUUAUUAUGCUGUAGUUCUAGAAAUAGGGUGUGUUAUUUUGGUUUACUUUCGAAAAUAGUGUGGGUCAUUAUGUAGUAGUUCAAAAAAUAGUGUGGGUAUUAUGCUGUAGUUUAGAAGUGGUGUGGGUUAUUUUGAUUCACUUUUAGAAAUAGUGUGGGUUAUUUUGAUUCACUUUUAGAAAUAGUGUGAGUUAUUAUGAUGUAGAUCCAAAAAUAGUGUGGGUUAUUUUGAUUCACUUUUAGAAAUAGUGUGAGUUAUUAUGUUGUAGAUCCAGAAAUAGUGUGGGUUAUUAUGUUGUAGUUUCAGAAAUAGUGUGAAUUAUUUUUGUUCAUUUUCAGAAAUAGUGUGAGUUAUUAUAUAAUAGUACCAGAAAUAAUGUGAGUUAUUUUGUUGUAGUUCAAGAAAUAGUAGCUCACUUUCGGAAGUAGUGUAGUGUGGGUUAUUUUGCUAUAGUUCAAGAAAUAAUGUCUAUUUUGCUCCAUUCCAUAAAUAAUAUGUGUUAUUUUGGUUCAAUUUCAUAAAUAGUGUGGGUUAUUAUGUUGUAGAUCCAGAAAUAGUGUGGGUUAUUAUGCUGUAGUUUCAAAAAUAGUGUGAAUCAUUUUGGUUCAUUUUCAGAAAUAAUGUGAGUUAUUAUACAAUAGUUUCAGAAAUAAUGUGAGUUAUUUUGUUGUAGUUCAAGAAAUAGUAGCUCACUUUCGGAAGUAGUGUGGGUUAUUUUGUUGUAGUUCAAGAAAUAAUGUUUAUUUUGCUCCAUUCCAUAAAUAAUAUGUGUUAUUUUGUUUCAAUUUCAUAAAUAGUGUGAGUUUUUUUUUAUGUAGUUCCAGAAAUAAUAUGAGUUAUUUUGGUUCACUUUUAAAAAUAGUGUUGGUUAUUUUACUAUAGUUUUAGAAUAGUUUGAAUUAUUUUGGUUCACUUUCAUAAAUACUUUUGGUUAUUUUGCUAUAGUCUCUAAAAUAGUGUUAUUUUAUUACCUUCUAGACACAAUGUGGGUUAUUUUGGUAUAUUUCAUAAAGUGUAAGUUUAUUUGCUAUAGUUUUAGAAAUAGUGUGCGUUAUUUUGUUGUAAUUCUGAAAAUAGUUAUAUUUUCAUUAUUGCAGAUGGAACAAAUGAAAAAUGUUAGGGUGAAGAGAUUUGUUAAUUGAUAUUGUUGCAGAGUUUCACUGUCGAGUUCUUCAAAAGGGAAAAGUUAAUGAAAAUCUUGAUGUCCUCCUGCAUUACAUGAAAAUAUGCGAGUAAUCUAGAGAAACAAAUGAUGCCUAAAGAUAAAUGAGGACAGAGAAACAAAAUGGUAAUAAAACAAACAUCUCUAGUGCUUUGAACGGAUUGUGAAGACCAUGUUUCGAGCACAAUGGCAAUCCAGCAAUCCAAGUUGUCCAAAAAAAGCAAUCCAGCAAUCCAAAAACAUUCGUUACGGUUCACAUACACUGACAUAGAACAUGAUACUUGUAUUAAUCAAGAUGGGUGCUCACUUGCUUAAUGUAUAUGCACUCUACAAAGGAAAUGAUAGAUUUGUAAAAAACAAAAAAAAAAAAAAAACAAAAAGAGUACUUGUAUUAUACAA